rnacentral:rRNA from 1 species
UGGAGCAUGUGGUUUAAUUCGACGCAACGCGAAGAACCUUACCGGGUUUGAACUGUACCUGCAACAUUCAGAGAUGGAUGGUUUCCUUAGGGAACUGGUAUAGAGGUGCUGCAUGGCUGUCGUCAGCUCGUGUCGUGAGAUGUUGGGUUAAGUCCCGCAACGAGCGCAACCCUUGUCUGUAGUUGCCAUCAGGUUAAGCUGGGCACUCUACGGAGACUGUCGGCGAUAAGCCGGAGGAAGGUGGGAUGACGUCAAGUCCUCAUGGCCUUUAUGUCCCGGGCUACACACGUGCUACAAUGGAUGGAACAGAGGGCUGCGAGCCUGCGAAGGCAAGCGAAUCCCAAAAAUCCAUUCUCAGUUCGGAUUGCAGUCUGCAACUCGACUGCAUGAAGUUGGAAUCGCUAGUAAUCGCGGAUCAGAACGCCGCGGUGAAUACGUUCCCGGGCCUU